CAACCAGUUCCCUAGCCAUUCACCGAUGGAGAUGAGCUCCCCCAGCCAUGUGUCUGGACCAAGAGGCAACUGUUACACCAAUCCUACUCCGGACAGGGCUAAUUACCAUAGCUCAAGCCCUAGUCCAGGGUACCAAGGCAGUUUUAGUCCAGGUGGAGGCAGCCAUGGACAUCAUGGCAAUAUGACCCCUAGUCCAAGAUUUGGCUCUGGACGAGGUACUGGUUCUCAUGGUCGUCAUUCUUCAUCAGACAAAUCACCUGG
rnacentral:misc_RNA from 1 species